AAGGAUAUAUUCGGAACAUCUUCGUAGAAGAUGAAGGAAUAACAUUGACAUAUUGUAUUCAGUUUUGAAUGUUUAUACAACAUUCAAACAUUUAUUGUACAUUGAAAACUAGAUAAGUAAGUAAAAUAUAGAUUUUACCAAGCAAAACCGAGUGAAUUAGAGUUUUAAAGCUUGAAUUCAUAAGAAAUAAUCGCUAGUGUUCGAAAGAACACUCACAAGAUUAAUAACGCGUUUCCUGUAGGAUGGAAACAUA
rnacentral:misc_RNA from 1 species